rnacentral:rRNA from 1 species
UUGAGCGAUUUACUUCGGUAAAGAGCGGCGGACGGGUGAGUAACGCGUGGGUAACCUACCCUGUACACACGGAUAACAUACCGAAAGGUAUGCUAAUACGGGAUAAUAUAUUUGAGAGGCAUCUCUUAAAUAUCAAAGGUGAGCCAGUACAGGAUGGACCCGCGUCUGAUUAGCUAGUUGGUAAGGUAACGGCUUACCAAGGCGACGAUCAGUAGCCGACCUGAGAGGGUGAUCGGCCACAUUGGAACUGAGACACGGUCCAAACUCCUACGGGAGGCAGCAGUGGGGAAUAUUGCACAAUGGGCGAAAGCCUGAUGCAGCAACGCCGCGUGAGUGAUGAAGGCCUUCGGGUCGUAAAACUCUGUCCUCAAGGAAGAUAAUGACGGUACUUGAGGAGGAAGCCCCGGCUAACUACGUGCCAGCAGCCGCGGUAAUACGUAGGGGGCUAGCGUUAUCCGGAUUUACUGGGCGUAAAGGGUGCGUAGGCGGUCUUUCAAGUCAGGAGUGAAAGGCUACGGCUCAACCGUAGUAAGCUCUUGAAACUGGGAGACUUGAGUGCAGGAGAGGAGAGUGGAAUUCCUAGUGUAGCGGUGAAAUGCGUAGAUAUUAGGAGGAACACCAGUUGCGAAGGCGGCUCUCUGGACUGUAACUGACGCUGAGGCACGAAAGCGUGGGGAGCAAACAGGAUUAGAUACCCUGGUAGUCCACGCUGUAAACGGUGAGUACUAGGUGUCGGGGGUUACCCCC